rnacentral:rRNA from 1 species
UACGGGGGGGGCAAGCGUUGUUCGGAAUUACUGGGCGUAAAGGGCUCGUAGGCGGCCAACUAAGUCAAACGUGAAAUCCCUCAGCUUAACUGGGGAACUGCGUGUGAGACUGGCAGGCUCGAGGGCAGGAGAGGAACGCGGAAUUCCAGGUGUAGCGGUGAAAUGCGUAGAUAUCGUUUGGAACGCCAAUGGUGAAAACAGGUUGCUGGGGGAUGUGCCGUAGCUGAGACACGAAAGCCAGGGGAGCAAACGGG